UGCUUUGACCAGUGGAAGAUAAGACACAAAUUGUAUGUCUAGCUUCGUUUACUGAAGAAUCUAAAUGCUCUUUUGAAAAAAGUAGGCACUGAAAUGCUUUGAAAAUAUGUUUUCAAAAUAAGUAUUGCAUGCACAAAAGUGUCACAAUACUGAGGACCUGGUAUGGUGCUAAGAAAGGGAAUACACAUCUAAUGCUCCAAACGUCUCAUCAAUUCACAAAAGCUUAUGACGGAGUAUCUCUCUGUCGCCUAGGCUGAAGUGCAGUGGCGUGAUCUCUCUGCUCACUGCAACCUCCACCUCCUGGGUUCAAGCAAUUCUCCUGCCUCAGCCUCCUGAGUAGCUGGGACUACAGGUGCACACCACCAUGCCUGGAUUUGUUAGUAGAGACGGGGUUUCACCAUGUCGCCCAGGUUGGUUUUAAACUCCUGAGCUCAGGCAAUCCAGCCUCCUUGGCCUCCCAAAGUGCUGGGAUUAUGCGUGAGCCACUGCUCCCGGCCCUAAAGGGUAAUCUCUAAAGAUGUAGGCUCCUAAGAAUAAUUGUGUCAGUGGGUCUCCUGUGUCACAGGAGUAGGAAUCUGGAGGGCAUGUGAAAGAUCUUGAGAAUUGCUUGUGGUAGAAUUGCUGUAAGGUCAGCAUAGCAUCUUUAAACACAUCCACCAUUCUCUUUUAUCCGGUUUCUGCUUUCUUUUUCCUUGCAAAUUUAAUUAACAUUCAUGGGCAACAAUAUUAAUUUGAUCCAACUAAGGUCCUUUUUUAAUCAUUUAAUGAUCACAACAUGAAAUCACACACAUUAAGAGGAUAGAAGAUAUAAAUCAACCCGAAUUAGGAAAAAAUUUGUAAUUUAACCAGGUAACAUUUCCAAGGAUGUAAACAAAUAUAUUAUAGAUAAUGAGAUGAAGGAAUUAGUAUGAAAUUGGAUUUAAAACCUUAAUUUAAACAAAGUAUGUUCUCUAGUUUAUACCCAAUCAAUACACAUGGCAUAUGAAAUUUCAUAAAAUAUGAUACAGUACAUUGCUUCUUCUAUACACCAUUCACUAUUUUUAUAAGCACAGAAUACUAUUGGAUGUUAAAUAUAAUUAAACAGAGCAAAAUAAUAUAAAUU
rnacentral:lncRNA from 1 species